UCACACCCGGAAGCGGAGAGCGGCGAGCGGCGAGCGGAGGUCUCAGCGCAAAGAGGCCAGGAGGAUCAGGAGAAGCAGAGACAGCGACUCCGAGAGAAAUAGAAAAUUGAAGAAAGCAUGGUGGAGAAACGAUGGCAACGAAGAGGAUUGGUGAGGAACUUGGGAAGAGAGAGCAACAUGGAAGAGCAUAGGCCUUGAAGCCUUCAAGGGAGAAGUGCUGUAAAUCAGCGGUCCCAAAUAGGGCGACAGUGGAGAGGCAGUUCACACAGAGAGCCCGCAAAGGGGAUACAAGUGUUGGAACCUUGACCUACAAACAAUAUCCUGCUGGAAGAGAAAGGGGACUACUAGUGAACGGAAACAGUGACACACUUUAUUUUCCUGGGCUCUAAAAUCACUGCAGAUGAUGACUGCAGCCAUG